AUCUUUGCACUAAGUUUUGGUGUUACAAAUCCGCAUUGCCGGAUGAGUGAUUAAAAGGGAAUCAGGUGCAAAUCCUGAACAGACCCGCUGCUGUAAGCUCUAUUCAGUGAACAGUUAACAGUCAUCAGUUAACAAUGUUUCUGAAAAAAGUUUUUGGACAAUACUCAAACCACUGAUUGACAGUCAUCAGUCAUCAGCUAUCAGUUAAUAAUUUUUGUUAACUGUUAACUGCCCACUGUAACUGAAUGUCGGGAAGGCCGUUCAAAAAUGGAGCAAGUCAGAAAACCUGCCGGAACAUUAUUAGUUGA
rnacentral:ncRNA from 2 species